CUGAUGGGUUGUUGCUGGUUCUCUAGGGAGCAUGUGCACGCCUUGUCAUCUUUAUAUCUCCACCUGUGCACCUUUUGUAGACCUUUCAGGUCUAUGUUGCUUCAUUUACCCCAAUGUAUGUUAAUAGAAUGUUGUGCCUAUAUACAAUAUAUACAACUUUCAGCAACGGAUCUCUUGGCUCUCGCAUCGAUGAAGAACGCAGCGAAAUGCGAUAAGUAAUGUGAAUUGCAGAAUUCAGUGAAUCAUCGAAUCUUUGAACGCACCUUGCGCUCCUUGGUAUUCCGAGGAGCAUGCCUGUUUGAGUGUCAUUAAUAUAUAUAUAUAUCAACCUUCUCUUGUGGAAUGGUUUGGAUGUGGGGGUUUGCUGGUUUCAUAUAUAUAUAUAUGGGUUCAGCUCUCCUGAAAUGCAUUARCAGAACGACCUGUUCAUUUGGUGUGAUAACUAUCUACGCUAUUGAAUGUGAGGGGCAGUUCAKCUUUCCMACAGUCCUCUUGGACAACUCAUCAUUAAUGUGACCUCAAAUCAGGUAGGACUACCCGCUGAACUUAAGCAUAUCAAUAAGCGGAGGAAAAGAAACUAACAARGGAUUCCCCUAGUAACUGCGAGUGAAGCGGGAAAAGCUCAAAUUUAAAAUCUGGCASUCUUUUGGCUGUCCGAGUUGUAAUCUARAAAAGUGUUAUCCGCGCUGGACCG
rnacentral:rRNA from 2 species